rnacentral:lncRNA from 1 species
GAAUAACACUCUCAGUCCUCCUGGGCCCCGAGUUUGCUAACUCAACCUGCAGAUCUUGGGACUUGCUAGCCUCCAUAAUCAGGUGAGCCAAUUCCUUAUCAUAAAGCUCUUUCUAUAUAUACAUCUUAUUGGUUCAAUUUUUCUGGAAAACUGACAUAGCCACCAUUAUCAUAUACUGAAUUCUUACAUCAUCUUAGGCCUUUACAUAUUUUUUUUCAGACUCUAAAAUACUUAGUUUAUAGAGGUGAACCAACGAAAGAGACAACUAAUAAUAGGCCCCCCUUGUGUCAGAACAAACCUCCAGUACUGACCUCAGAAGCUGUUCCUGUAGGAAGGCUUGUAUGGCAAAUUGUGGUUACGUGUGGUUAAUUUUAGCUCUGAGCAUGGUAGUGGCUACCCAUCACCCGUGCCAGCAGCUUUGUAUGUGUUCCUGAAGCAGCUUGCUGAAGCCAGGAUAGGCAUUAAGGACCCUGUCCUGCAAAUAUUGGGGAACUGUGCUCUAGUCACUGAUUGCUCCUUCUGAUCGUGGAGGUGCAGACACGGAGGUGUAAGAAAACUAUAAACAAAAUGGAAACAUCAAUAAAGAUAGAGAAAACAAAUUCUGGAGCUGAAAAGUACAACAACUUUGCUAGAGGGAUUUAAAAGCAUAUUUGAGCAAGCAGAAGAAUGAGUGAAUUUGAAGAUAGGGUCAUUGAAAUCAAAUUUAAGGAAA